ncrna:unclassified sequences GA-cis RNA
AGGAGGAGGGAGCAUCAUGAACGAAGUGAAUGAUUUAGGAUGCGACCGACGAUCUGCCGCCGAGUGAAACGAGGGGGCAUUACAUUAA